AGAAGCGUAUCUCAAACACGUACUGUACGUCAAAUUAUUGGGAAUUUGGUGCAUGUUUUGAUCGAUUUCCAUAAGUUUAUUGUUUACUGCUCUACGAAAACCAUAAAUGUACCCUACAGAAAGUGAAAGUAUUGCAAAAAAAACAAUAGAACAUAAGAAAUCAACCAUUUCUUCUACGGUUCAAUAGCUGGUGCUUCUGCGUCAACAAACAGUGUGUAUUCGCGAAGAAGAAUAUAAAUACCGAGUAUGUGCGCGCAUGUAAGAGCAGACCUACGAAAGAAAGCUUGACUGAAGCUUCGCUGGGAGUGCUGAACAAGUGGCGUCUAAUAUCGAAAGGUUUAAUUGCUGUUAAGUGCCAGAGACUGUGUAUUUGGUUGCGAAACACUACGAGUGAGCCAUCGAAAAACAUCACUCAUUGUGCAGAAUUCGGUAGCAAACGUAUCGAAAUCGUGAAAAAUGAAAUCUAUUUCGGCAAAUUGUGCUACGGGUGCCUCCGUCCCCGCGAUUGCAAGUGGUCGUGUACGUCAACGCUAUCGGGAGUGUGAAAAUGAUCCAGAAAUACAAGUGUAUCUAACAAAACUGAAGGAUUUGGUACCUUUUAUGGCGAAGGAUCGCAAAAUGUCGAAGCUUGAAGUGAUUCGGAACGCUAUCGAUUACAUAUGCGAGCUUCAAAAUACACUAGCCGAUGCAGACGUACAACAACAAGCGGGCAAGAUGCAAGAGUCAUUGAUUUGAAGAAGAACAUAAAACAAACUUUGAAUAGGAAUGAAGCUGCCGGAGUGUGUACCAGUACACGAUCGCGGUCUGAAUUGCUCCUUAAUUGUGCAAUAGAGAAACAUAUAUGGAAGGAUUAAUAGAUCUCAACAUGAAGUCGAAUUGGCCAACAUGCCUGCUUCAAGAAGGCAGACGGGGAAGAGUAGCAGAGUUUCGAAUAUUGCGUUUGAUAGAUGUUUGAUUAGGCAGAACAAUUUAUGUACAAAGGAAUCUGUACGAUGCAAGGAAUGUGAUUGGAUCCGAUUAAUAUUGAAGCAGCUGAAGCAGGAUGAAAUUAGUAAUGCAGCAACACAUUUUUCUUUUUAUCAUCUGCAUACAUCUGUGAUGUGAUCAGUAGGAAUAUGUAUUGUCCAUUUCUUGUAUUUAUUACGAACAUAGUUUAAACAAAAACACCGAUAAUAGUAGAAAACAACCAUAUAUAUGCUAUGGGAUGCGUAUUCAGGAAAAAUAAAUUAAAACAUUUAUAUUUUGCGUAUAAUAUGUUGAUAAUACUACUACUUAGUACCAUGAUAGUGAUUCCUGGCUAGAGAAUACUUCUGUGAGAGGGAAGUUAAUGCACCAGAUGUUACUCAGAUCAUUGCAGCUAUCUCUUAUCUAAUGUUUUAUCAUACGUCUUUCCCGUGUGCUAUUUUAUCAUACAUAUACUAUAAAGUGGAAUAUUAAAAGACAGGUAAAGAAACUAAGCGAAAUCGUAGGAAACGUAAGGAGAGUGAGCGUCAAAAAGUGGAAAUUUAUUAAGUAAAAACAGUUUUUAAUUAAUGAAAUAUAACCAUUUAAGAAACAA